GAUGAACGCUAGCUACAGGCUUAACACAUGCAAGUCGAGGGGAAACGAUAUUGGAAGCUUGCUUCCGAUAGGCGUCGACCGGCGCACGGGUGAGUAACGCGUAUCCAACCUGCCCAUCACUUGGGGAUAACCUUGCGAAAGUAAGACUAAUACCCAAUGACGGCCCUAGAAGACAUCUGAAAGAGAUUAAAGAUUAAUCGGUGAUGGAUGGGGAUGCGUCUGAUUAGCUUGUUGGCAGGGUAACGGCCCACCAAGGCGACGACCAGUAGGGGUUCUGAGAGGAAGGGCCCCCACAUUGGAACUGAGACACGGUCCAAACUCCUACGGGAGGCAGCAGUGAGGAAAAUUGGUCAAUGGGCGAGAGCCUGAACCAGCCAAGUAGCGUGCAGGAAGACGGCCCUAUGGGUUGUAAACUGCUUUUAUAAGGGAAUAAAGUGGGAGUCGUGACUCCUUUUGCAUGUACCUUAUGAAUAAGGACCGGCUAAUUCCGUGCCAGCCGCCGCAGUAA
rnacentral:rRNA from 1 species